rnacentral:rRNA from 1 species
AUUGAACGCUGGCGGCAGGCCUAACACAUGCAAGUCGAGCGGCUGAAGAGAGCUUGCUCUCUGAUUUAGCGGCGGACGGGUGAGUAAUGCCUAGGAAUCUGCCUGGUAGUGGGGGAUAGCGUUCCGAAAGGAACGCUAAUACCGCAUACGUCCUACGGGAGAAAGCCGGAGACCUUCGGGCCUUGCGCUCUCAGAUGAGCCUAGGUCGGAUUAGCUAGUUGGUGAGGUAAUGGCUCACCAAGGCGACGAUCCGUAACUGGUCUGAGAGGAUGAUCAGUCACACUGGAACUGAGACACGGUCCAGACUCCUACGGGAGGCAGCAGUGGGGAAUAUUGGACAAUGGGCGAAAGCCUGAUCCAGCCAUGCCGCGUGUGUGAAGAAGGUCUUCGGAUUGUAAAGCACUUUAAGUUGGGAGGAAGGGUUGUAGAUUAAUACUCUGCAAUUUUGACGUUACCAACAGAAUAAGCACCGGCUAACUUCGUGCCAGCAGCCGCGGUAAAAC